rnacentral:lncRNA from 1 species
GUAAUACAGCGGCAACAGUGGCCCUGCUCUGGGGUCAAGGUGACAAAUGAGACUGAGUGGGGAGCAGGGCCUUUCUCUUCUUCAAGGAACUCACUCCAGUUCAUGCAGGAAACAAAGGGUUGAUCUGGCAGCUUGAAGAUUUUCCAGGAGGCAGCAACCUUGGUAUUGAAGCCUGGUGGAAAACCAGUCUAAAGGACUCCUUAUAACAGGACAGCUAACAUAGCCUUGAGUACUUAAAGGAUGAAUGUGUCUGCCAGUGAACAAAAUGAUGGUUCCAUUGAACUGGAAAUUGAGACUCCUACGUGACCAUUUUCAUCUUCUCACACCAUUGGAAUAGAGGGCUUUGGUGUUGACAGUGGUGGUUGAUCCUGAGUAUCACGGUGAAAGUGGACUGCUGCUGUGACAUUGAGCAUUCAAACCUGCUUUCUGAUUUGGAGGAAAUCCUUUACUGUGUGAAUCUCCAUGGGAUGCUGAGUCCUGCCUUCCACUAAAGAAGAUGAAGAGGAUCAGGUAUCUCUCUUGCCAGGGAGAGCUUCUGCGAUCCUGAACCUCCAAUUUCCUCUGGGAUCUAGUGUUAAUUUUUGCAGCCUUCUUGUUAUCCCGCAGUGUCUUUUGUUUUGCUUUAAGGCAGCCACCCAGGAGCAUUUAUCAAGCACUGCACAGUUUAACUGCCUAUAAAGAUGGGGCCUAGGCUAUUUACUUACCGGAUUGGUAAAAAUUGGUAAUUGGGAUAACAGUUUUCCCUUUCCAAUAGCGGGUACAGCUGGCACAUUUCUUGCCAGGUUGGAAAAUAUCAGUGAGCUGUUUAAUAUGCUUAUACUAUAUCUCUUUUAAGAGAAAUUUGAAGCUAGUGAAUGAAAAAUGGAAGCCUGCUUAGUGCUGGUAGAGCAGUUGCCACCUAGGUAGUUAACAUUUGAUAAUUAAGAGUUUGAAUUUGGCUUUAUCAAGAGUGUUUGCCUGAGUAGACUAAAGUUUAUUUUUGACUGGUUUGUUUUUUCAUCAUCACUAUGGAGCAGAAUAAAUGGCCUCAUAUUUUCAGUAGGCUGUGCACUGUUUUCUCAGGACUUUCCUUGGGAAGGAAAGCACUUUCUCUGCCUCUAUUUCUCUACUUUACCGUCAGAGACUAG